rnacentral:tRNA from 1 species
GUCAGGAUGGCCGAGCGGUCCAAGGCGCUGCGUUCAGGUCGCAGUCCAGUUCUCUGGGCGAGGGUUCGAAUCCCUCCUUCUGACA